GACGAACGCUGGCGGCGUGCCUAAUACAUGCAAGUCGAGCGGACGAAUCGAAAGCUUGCUUUUGAUUCGUUAGCGGCGGACGGGUGAGUAACACGUGGGCAACCUGCCCUGUAGACGGGGAUAACACCGAGAAAUCGGUGCUAAUACCGGAUAACACGAAAUGUCGCAUGACGUUUCGUUGAAAGACGGCGCAAGCUGCCGCUACAGGAUGGGCCCGCGGCGCAUUAGCUAGUUGGUGAGGUAACGGCUCACCAAGGCGACGAUACGUAGCCGACCUGAGAGGGUGAUCGGCCACACUGGGACUGAGACACGGCCCAGACUCCUACGGGAGGCAGCAGUAGGGAAUCUUCCGCAAUGGACGAAAGUCUGACGGAGCAACGCCGCGUGAGCGAAGAAGGCCUUCGGGUCGUAAAGCUCUGUUGUUAGGGAAGAACAAGUAACGCAGUAACUGGCGUUACUGUGACGGUACCUAACGAGAAAGCCACGGCUAACUACGUG
rnacentral:rRNA from 1 species